rnacentral:rRNA from 1 species
UACGGAGGAUGCGAGCGUUAUCCGGAUUUAUUGGGUUUAAAGGGUGCGCAGGCGGAGGUGCAAGUCAGCGGUCAAAUUGCGGGGCUCAACCCCGUACUGCCGUUGAAACUGCAUCCCUUGAGUGCGCGAGAAGUACGCGGAAUGCGCGGUGUAGCGGUGAAAUGCAUAGAUAUCGCGCAGAACUCCGAUUGCGAAGGCAGCGUACCGGCGCCACACUGACGCUGAGGCACGAAAGCGUGGGGAGCAAACAGG